GAUGAACGCUGGCGGCGUGCCUAAUACAUGCAAUUCGAGCGAACAGACGAGGAGCUUGCUCCUCUGACGUUAGCGGCGGACGGGUGAGUAACACGUGGAUAACCUACCUAUAAGACUGGGAUAACUUCGGGAAACCGGAGCUAAUACCGGAUAAUAUAUUUAACCGCAUGGUUCAAUAGUGAAAGACGGUUUUGCUGUCACUUAUAGAUGGAUCCGCGCCGCAUUAGCUAGUUGGUAAGGUAACGGCUUACCAAGGCAACGAUGCGUAGCCGACCUGAGAGGGUGAUCGGCCACACUGGAACUGAGACACGGUCCAGACUCCUACGGGAGGCAGCAGUAGGGAAUCUUCCGCAAUGGGCGAAAGCCUGACGGAGCAACGCCGCGUGAGUGAUGAAGGUCUUCGGAUCGUAAAACUCUGUUAUUAGGGAAGAACAAAUGUGUAAGUAACUAUGCACGUCUUGACGGUACCUAAUCAGAAAGCCACGGCUAACUACGUG
rnacentral:rRNA from 1 species